rnacentral:rRNA from 1 species
GAAUUUUGCGCAAUGGGCGAAAGCCUGACGCAGCAACGCCGCGUGAGUGAUGAAGGCCUUCGGGUCGUAAAGCUCUGUCAGAGGGGAAGAACCACCUGAAGGUUAAUAGCCUUCAGGCCUGACGGUACCCUCAAAGGAAGCACCGGCGAACUCGGUGCCAGCAGCCGCGGUAAUACGGAGGGUGCAAGCGUUGUUCGGGAUUAUUGGGCGUAGAGCGCGUGUAGGCGGUCUGUUAAGUCUGAUGUGAAAGCCCCGGGCUCAACCCGGGAAGUGCAUUGGAAACUGGCAGACUUGAGUACGGGAGAGGGUAGUGGAAUUCCGAGUGUAGGGGUGAAAUCCGUAGAUAUUCGGAGGAACACCGGUGGCGAAGGCGGCUACCUGGACCGAUACUGACGCUGAGACGCGAAAGCGUGGGGAGCAAACAGG